rnacentral:misc_RNA from 1 species
AGUACAGUUCAGUAUUGUAAUGUUUAUUUACGUUUUGCGCAUCUUUUGUGACAACUAGACCUCAGGUCAAUGACAUUGUGGAAGUAAAAGGAGAUAAUAUGGCGGUGGAUAUGAGUUUAUUGAGGUAAACAUCGGCGGAAGGAAGAAAGUGUGUGGCGGUUUCGUUAGCCUAAUGACAAUGUGUUUAAACACUGUAAUUUAAGCAUGUCGUCUGUAUAUAAACCGUCAUUCGGUGCAUUUGACAAAGACACAAAGUUUGCUAAAAUACAACCACCUCUUUGUCACAUGAUUGGGCGUGUCACAGGUGGACUAGCAAUGUUGUACAGAAAAAUCAAAACAAAACAAAUACAUUCUCAGCAGGAGUUACAUUAUGAAUAUGGAUCCUGCACUGAAGAAAAUGGUGUUUUUAACCCAGGUUUAAUUGAGGAAGUGCCUCUGUUGGGUAAAAGAUAUGAGUAUUCAAAAGUGAUUGGCAGUGGCAUAUCAUCGGUGUUAGUGCAGGCCGUAGAUACUUAUAGGCAGAACCAGUAUCAAGUUGCUAUAAAGAUAUUGCACACUGACUACAAAAUGCUUGGGUGUCAGGCAUUCACUGCACUAGACAGUCUAAGGCCGAACGCAACACGACAACGUGCGCGCAGCGGAUUGUUUUUUAAUGAAGAUCCGUUCAGACGACCACUGAAAAUCAGCAGAUGGCGUCGCGUCGUCUAGCGAUCACAGGCAGUGGAGUUGGAUUCGCUGUGCGACAGUAGUAUGACUGAUGUACAUCAAAGAAGCAGAUACAGUGCUUAGACUUAACAGAGUUGAUCCCAGUAACUUUUCAAGAAUUAUUCGCCUUCUGAAUACUUUCACAUUUGAUGGUCAUUUUUGUAUGGUAUAUGAGCUUCUUCACCCUAGCCCACUGCAC